rnacentral:tRNA from 1 species
GCCGGGAUAGCUCAGCUGGUAGAGCAACUGAUUUGUAAUCAGUAGGCCGUGGGUUCGACUCCCUCUCCCGGCU